rnacentral:lncRNA from 1 species
GAGGACAAAGGGUGCCAUAAAUAUGAUGAAGGGAAGGAUGAGAUCAUGAGACACCAUAGAAGCUGUAGCUACUAUCUGGAGCAUGACAAACUGAGGAUGCUUCAUACAUGUGGGUUGACUUUAUUCUAUAGGCUUGGGAGGAAUAAGGAAUCUGUGCAUCACCGCUCUCGCUUUCCAGACCAUAUCAUUGUACAUCGUAGCUAUGCACAACGAGC